GAGAGAAGUGGCGGUCAAGAUAGCCAAGGAGACUGCCUAUCACCUAUUUAAAAAAAGACUUCUUAAUUUUUGAGAAGACAAGAAAAUUAAGAAGCCUUUUUUUUUUUUUUUGAAAGGUGCAGGCAAGUCAUCCUUGGCUACCAAACAAAUCGGCUCUUCUCU
rfam:Beta vulgaris subsp. vulgaris Bvchr3.sca003.con0071.1, whole genome shotgun sequence.